UUUAAAAGGUCCGCGCUCCCUUUUCAUUGGAAAUGCUAUUCCCAUGAGUAAGAGGUAGAAAUAAGAGUUUAAUAAAAGCGUUUCUAUUGUAUAGGCGACUAAACACCAAUGCAUUCUCACUUAUAGAUUUUAUUGUUCGCUAUUUGCUCUGUUAUUCAUGUCGUUCAUUCUAGCUUUUAUAAGUUCAUUGUUUGAGUGCGAAUUCAUGGAGCUCCAUGGUGCGUUCAGCAAGUCGUCGAUCGAGUACGAGUGGUUUUCUUUAUACCAGGCAUUAACACUAUGGUUGAUUUAGGAGGGGUGUAGUGAAGAAAUUAUCUGAUUGGCAAGACUUCUACUGUAGGUUGAUUCUUACAGCUUGUGACCGUAUUCUGGAGGAACAUAUUACCAGUCAGGUUAAUAUCGCUAGACACCCGGCAUAGUCAACUGGCAAGUACGGUAGAAUUGACAAGAUAUGUGAUAUGCCGAAACAUAACACUCUGGUCACAUAGGUAUUUGCCAGUCGCCAUGAUAAGACAAACAUACCACAACAUUUGCCAUGAGUACAACCACCCAACAUUGGCAUCUACGAAAGAAGGUGGUACAAAGUAUACAAGCACCCAAGACGUUAGCAAGAAACACUCUGGUUGUUUGCUGAAAGCUACACACAAUUUAAGGAGCAAAUGACAGGCUCAAAUGUAUGUAAUGCAAACAGUUCAAUCUGUGUGGACAUGAUGAAAUGGACAUGUCCAAUCCGUGGUUAGCAGAAGUUGGCGAUGCUCAGAGCUCUGCAGCAAGUGAUUGAGCCCAAAAUAUUUCAAAAGAAUUAAAUUAAAAUGAUUUAUCUAGUGAUGUGAUUUUUUUUUUCUGAAGAUAUACUGAAAUG